rnacentral:antisense_RNA from 1 species
UUUCUAGCCCAUGACAGACUAACGUAUCUAAAAAUCAUAGAUUAGGUAAAGAAUGUGUGCAAAUUAAAAUCCAUGCACAGAAACCUAUGUGAGAAGAAGGAGCGUUGUCAUCGCAGACGUUUAACUGGGCCUGGUUGAAGAUGGCCGCGUGUAAACCAGAAUGCAAGUCAGCUGGGGCACGUACUACUGGAGGCAGAGCCCCAUGAGAAGGGGCCAAGAACCCGCACCCAUCAAAAUCAAGAAGAAAGGCUGAACCCGGAGAGAAAAGGGAGCAACUGAUGUUGCCAUGCAGAUCCCUUGGUUGCUAUGAGAUGGUAACAUCACUCUGCCCCACCAUUGGCCAGUGCCUCCUCAGCUGCGGUGCCUCCCAGGCUGUGUGGUUCUCACGCGGGCCGCUGACACAGAGCUGUUACUAUGGUGAACUUUACAAUUUCCUUUGAUUGGUGGAUUUCAGAAAUAGGCCAUCAGCGGAAUUCAUUAUAUUCAGCUAAGUCAAAA